CUACCUCUGCCCCCUGCCUCGGUACUGGGGACGAACGUUCGAAGGUAACGCGUAAUACCGCAUACGCUUACGGCGUAAAGCAGGGACCUUACGGGCCUUGUCGCUAUCAGAUGAGCCUAGGUCGGAUUAGCUAGUUGGUGAGGUAAUGGCUCACCAAGGCGACGAUCCGUAACUGGUCUGAGAGGAUGAUCAGUCACACUGGAACUGAGACACGGUCCACACUCCUACGGGAGGCAGCAGUGGGGAAUAUUGGACAAUGGGCGAAAGCCUGAUCCAGCCAUGCCGCGUGUGUGAAGAAGGUCUUCGGAUUGUAAAGCACUUUAAGUUGGGAGGAAGGGCAGUAAGUUAAUACCUUGCUGUUUUGACGUUACCGACAGAAUAAGCACCGGCUAACUUCGUGCCAGCAGCCGCGGUAAUACGAAGGGUGCAAGCGUUAAUCGGAAUUACUGGGCGUAAAGCGCGCGUAGGUGGUUUGUUAAGUUGGAAGUGAAAGCCCCGGGCUCAACCUGGGAACUGCUUUCAAAACUGGCAAGCUAGAGUAUGGGUCGACGCGGCCG
rnacentral:rRNA from 1 species